rnacentral:rRNA from 1 species
GUGCCAGCCGCCGCGGUAAUACGGAGGGGGCUAGCGUUGUUCGGAAAUACUGGGCGUAAAGCGCACGUAGGCGGUGGAGUAAGUCAGAGGUGAAAUCCCAGGGCUCAACCCUGGAACUGCCUUUGAAACUGCUACACUAGAAUCAUGGAGAGGUCAGUGGAAUUCCGAGUGUAGAGGUGAAAUUCGUAGAUAUUCGGAAGAACACCAGUGGCGAAGGCGACUGACUGGACAUGUAUUGACGCUGAGGUGCGAAAGCGUGGGGAGCAAACAGGAUUAGAUACCCGCGUAGUCC